GGAAUGGUCCUGUGGGGGUAUUUGAAUGGGAAGCUUUUGCCCAGGGAACCAAAGCUCUCAUGGAUGAGGUGGUGAAAGCCACUUCUAGGGGCUGCAUCACCAUCAUAGGUAAGCGGUCCUAUACAAAGCUAAUACCCAUAUAAGCUGGCAGAAUUCUGAUCAGAGGAAGGUGGAAUGGAGAACUUCUGUGUCUUUUUAUUCCGGGUAAAUCUUAAGAGGUAAACAGGUAGAUAAUUUACAGAGGAGCCUCUUGGUAAGAUAGAGUUGGGGGUUUAUAAGCUACCUUUUGGGUUGGGGAGCACACUGCCUUACAGUUUUGGUGCCAAUCCCUUUUUUUUUCUUUUCUCUCUUUUCCCUUUUUACCUGGCUUUCAUUCAACAGGUGGUGGAGACACUGCCACUUGCUGUGCCAAAUGGAACACGGAGGAUAAAGUCAGCCAUGUGAGCACUGGGGGUGGUGCCAGUUUGGAGCUCCUGGAAGGUAAAGUCCUUCCUGGGGUGGAUGCUCUCAGCAAUAUUUAGUACUUUCCUGCCUUUUAGUUCCUGUGCACAGCCCCUAAGUCAACUUAGCAUUUUCUGCAUCUCCACUUGGCAUUAGCUAAAACCUUCCAUGUCAGGAUUCAGCUAGUGGCCAAGAUAUGCAGUGCCAGGAACCCUUAAACAGUUGCACAGCAUCUCAGCUCAUCUUUACUGCACCCUGGAUUUGCCUACAUUCUUCAAGAUCCCAUUUGAAUUUCUUAGUGACUAAACCAUUGUGCAUUCUAGAGUGCAUAUAUUUAUAUUUUGCCUGUUAAAAAGAAAGUGAGCUGUGUUAACUUAGUUCUCUUUUGAUGUAGGUUGUGAUUAGCUUUGUCACUGUUUCACUACUCGGCAUGGAAACAAGAUGAAAUUCCAUUUGUAGGUAGGGAGACAAAAUUGAUGAUCCAUUAAGUAAACAAUAAAAGUGUCCAUUGAAA
rnacentral:sRNA from 1 species